rnacentral:rRNA from 1 species
UACAGGGGGGGCAAGCGUUGUUCGGAAUUACUGGGCGUAAAGGGUUCGUAGGUGGCUUGCUAAGUCAGACGUGAAAUCCCUCAGCUUAACUGGGGAACUGCGUCUGAUACUGGCGAGCUUGAGUGCAGGAGAGGAACGCGGAAUUCCAGGUGUAGCGGUGAAAUGCGUAGAUAUCUGGAGGAACACCGGUGGCGAAGGCGGCGUUCUGGACAGUUCCUGACGCUGAUGCACGAAAGCCAGGGGAGCAAACGGG